rnacentral:rRNA from 1 species
UACGAAGGGGGCUAGCGUUGUUCGGAAUUACUGGGCGUAAAGGGCGCGUAGGCGGCGUGUCAAGUCAGGCGUGAAAGCCCCGGGCUCAACCUGGGAACCGCGCUUGAGACUGGCAUGCUCGAGUUCGGGAGAGGAUGGUGGAAUUCCCAGUGUAGAGGUGAAAUUCGUAGAUAUUGGGAAGAACACCGAUGGCGAAGGCAGCCAUCUGGACCGACACUGACGCUGAGGCGCGGAAGCGUGGGGAGCAAACAGG